rnacentral:rRNA from 1 species
AAGCGCUUGUGACCAGACUUGGGCUUGGUUGAUCAUCCGGGGUUCUCCCCGGUGCACUCUUCCGGCUCAGGCCAGCAUCAGUUCGCCCUGGGGGAUAAAGGCUUCGGGAAUGUGGCUCUCUCCGGGGAGUGUUAUAGCCCGCUGCGUAAUACCCUGUGGCGGACUGAGGUUCGCGCAUUCGCAAGGAUGCUGGCGUAAUGGUCAUCAGUGA